AGGUUGACCUCGGAUCAGGUAGGGAUACCCGCUGAACUUAAGCAUAUCAAUAAGCGGAGGAAAAGAAACCAACAGGGAUUGCCUCAGUAACGGCGAGUGAAGCGGCAACAGCUCAAAUUUGAAAUCUGGCUCUUUCAGGGUCCGAGUUGUAAUUUGUAGAAGAUGCUUCGGGUGUGGCUCCGGUCUAAGUUCCUUGGAACAGGACGUCAUAGAGGGUGAGAAUCCCGUAUGUGACUGGCUGCCUCCGCCCAUGUGAAGCUCUUUCGACGAGUCGAGUUGUUUGGGAAUGCAGCUCAAAAUGGGUGGUAAAUUUCAUCUAAAGCUAAAUAUUGGCCAGAGACCGAUAGCGCACAAGUAGAGUGAUCGAAAGAUGAAAAGCACUUUGGAAAGAGAGUUAAACAGUACGUGAAAUUGUUGAAAGGGAAGCGCUUGCAAUCAGACUUGCGCGCGGUCGAUCAUCCGGUGUUCUCACCGGUGCACUCGAUCGUGCUCAGGCCAGCAUCGGUUUCGGUGGUUGGAUAAAGGCCUUGGGAAUGUGGCUCCUUUCGGGGAGUGUUAUAGCCCUCGGUGCAAUGCAGCCUACCGGGACCGAGGACCGCGCUUCGGCUAGGAUGCUGGCGUAAUGGUUGUAAGCGACCCGUCUUGAAACACGGACCAAGGAGUCUAACAUCUAUGCGAGUGUUUGGGUGUCAAACCCAUACGCGUAAUGAAAGUGAACGGAGGUGAGAACCCUUAAGGGUGCAUCAUCGACCGAUCCUGAUGUCUUCGGAUGGAUUUGAGUAAGAGCAUAGCUGUUGGGACCCGAAAGAUGGUGAACUAUGCCUGAAUAGGGUGAAGCCAGAGGAAACUCUGGUGGAGGCUCGCAGCGGUUCUGACGUGCAAAUCGAUCGUCA
rnacentral:rRNA from 1 species